rnacentral:rRNA from 1 species
GAUGAACGCUGGCGGCGUGCCUAAUACAUGCAAGUCGAGCGAACUGAUUAGAAGCUUGCUUCUAUGACGUUAGCGGCGGACGGGUGAGUAACACGUGGGCAACCUGCCUGUAAGACUGGGAUAACUUCGGGAAACCGAAGCUAAUACCGGAUAGGAUCUUCUCCUUCAUGGGAGAUGAUUGAAAGAUGGUUUCGGCUAUCACUUACAGAUGGGCCCGCGGUGCAUUAGCUAGUUGGUGAGGUAACGGCUCACCAAGGCAACGAUGCAUAGCCGACCUGGGAGGGUGAUCGGCCACACUGGGACUGAGACACGGCCCAGACUCCUACGGGAGGCAGCAGUAGGGAAUCUUCCGCAAUGGACGAAAGUCUGACGGAGCAACGCCGCGUGAAUGAUGAAGGCUUUCGGGUCGUAAAACUCUGUUGUUAGCGAAGAACAAGUACGAGAGUAACUGCUCGUACCUUGACGGUACCUAACCAGAAAGCCACGGCUAACUACGUGCCAGCCGCCGCGGUAACAC